rnacentral:rRNA from 1 species
ACAACGGAGAGUUUGAUCCUGGCUCAGGAUGAACGCUGGCGGCGUGCUUAACACAUGCAAGUCGAACGAACCUUCGGGUUAGUGGCGGACGGGUGAGUAACGCGUGGGAAUCUGCCCUCAGGAGGGGGAUAACGGUUGGAAACGGCCGCUAAUACCCCAUAUGCCGAAAGGUGAAAUGAAUUUCGCCUGAGGAUGAGCCCGCGUCUGAUUAGCUAGUUGGUGUGGUAAUGGCUCACCAAGGCUUCGAUCAGUAGCUGGUCUGAGAGGAUGAUCAGCCACACUGGGACUGAGACACGGCCCAGACUCCUACGGGAGGCAGCAGUGGGGAAUUUUCCGCAAUGGGCGAAAGCCUGACGGAGCAACGCCGCGUGAGGGAUGAAGGCCUCUGGGCUGUAAACCUCUUUUCUCAAGGAAGAAGAUAUGACGGUACUUGAGGAAUAAGCCACGGCUAAUUCCGUGCCAGCAGCCGCGGUAAUACGGGAGUGGCAAGCGUUAUCCGGAAUUAUUGGGCGUAAAGCGUCCGCAGGCGGCCCUUCAAGUCUGCUGUUAAAACGUGGAGCUUAACUCCAUCAUGGCAGUGGAAACUGUUGGGCUUGAGUGUGGUAGGGGCAGAGGGAAUUCCCGGUGUAGCGGUGAAAUGCGUAGAUAUCGGGAAGAACACCAGUGGCGAAGGCGCUCUGCUGGGCCAUAACUGACGCUCAUGGACGAAAGCCAGGGGAGCGAAAGGGAUUAGAUACCCCUGUAGUCCUGGCCGUAAACGAUGAACACUAGGUGUCGGGGGAAUCGACCCCUUCGGUGUCGUAGCUAACGCGUUAAGUGUUCCGCCUGGGGAGUACGCACGCAAGUGUGAAACUCAAAGGAAUUGACGGGGGCCCGCACAAGCGGUGGAGUAUGUGGUUUAAUUCGAUGCAACGCGAAGAACCUUACCAGGGUUUGACAUCCUGCGAACCUUUAAGAAAUUAGAGGGUGCCUUCGGGAACGCAGUGACAGGUGGUGCAUGGCUGUCGUCAGCUCGUGUCGUGAGAUGUUGGGUUAAGUCCCGCAACGAGCGCAACCCACGUUUUUAGUUGCCAGCAUUUAGUUGGGCACUCUAGAAAGACCGCCGGUGAUAAACCGGAGGAAGGUGUGGAUGACGUCAAGUCAUCAUGCCCCUUACAUCCUGGGCUACACACGUACUACAAUGCUACGGACAAAGGGCAGCAAGCUCGCGAGAGCAAGCAAAUCCCAUAAACCGUGGCUCAGUUCAGAUCGUAGGCUGCAACUCGCCUACGUGAAGUAGGAAUCGCUAGUAAUCGCAGGUCAGCAUACUGCGGUGAAUACGUUCCCGGGCCUUGUACACACCGCCCGUCACACCAUGGAAGUUGGCCACGCCCGAAGUCGUUACUCCAACCCUUGUGGAGGAGGACGCCGAAGGUGGGGCUAAUGACUGGGGUGAAGUCGUAACAAGGUAGCCGUACCGGAAGGUGCGGCUGGAUCACCUCCUAA